GAUGAACGCUGGCGGCGUGCCUAAUACAUGCAAGUCGAGCGAACAGACGAGGAGCUUGCUCCUCUGACGUUAGCGGCGGACGGGUGAGUAACACGUGGAUAACCUACCUAUAAGACUGGGAUAACUUCGGGAAACCGGAGCUAAUACCGGAUAAUAUAUUGAACCGCACGGUUCAAUAGUGAAAGACGGUUUUGCUGUCACUUAUAGAUGGCUCCGCGCCGCAUUAGCUAGUUGGUAAGGUAACGGCUUACCAAGGCAACGAUGCGUAGCCGACCUGAGAGGGUGAUCGGCCACACUGGAACUGAGACACGGUCCAGACUCCUACGGGAGGCAGCAGUAGGGAAUCUUCCGCAAUGGGCGAAAGCUUGACGGAGCAACGCCGCGUGAGUGAUGAAGGUCUUCGGAUCGUAAAACUCUGUUAUUAGGGAAGAACAAAUGUGUAAGUAACUAUGCACGUCUUGACGGUACCUAAUCAGAAAGCCACGGCUAACUACGUG
rnacentral:rRNA from 1 species